AAAAAAAGAGGUCGGUGAAAUGAGAAAGCUAGGCCCACAAGCAGCCACAAAAAGGCCGACUCUAUGAUAUAAAAAUGGAACCCAAUGCAUAAAAGUUCACUCUUUUCUUCUUCUCUCAUUUUAUCACAUUUUUUUUUUUUUGUUACACUAUAUAAAGUUUACAUUUUUCUUUCUUUUUCUAUCUGCCAACAAAGUUAUAGUCUUUACACUAUAU
rnacentral:lncRNA from 1 species